CAAUAGCGUAUAUUAAAGUUGUUGCGGUUAAAAAGCUCGUAGUUGGAUUUCUGCUGAGGAUGACCGGUCCGCCCUCCGGGUGAGUAUCUGGCUCAGCCUUGGCAUCUUCCUGAAGAACGUAACUGCACUUGACUGUGUGGUGCGGUAUUUAGGACAUUUACUUUGAGGAAAUUAGAGUGUUUCAAGCAAGCGCACGCCUUGAAUACAUUAGCAUGGAAUAAUAAGAUAGGACCUCGGUUCUAUUUUGUUGGUUUCUAGAGCUGAGGUAAUGAUUGAUAGGGAUAGUUGGGGGCAUUCGUAUUUAACUGUCAGAGGUGAAAUUCUUGGAUUUGUCAAAGACGGACUACUGCGAAAGCAUUUGCCAAGGAUGUUUUCAUUGA
rnacentral:rRNA from 1 species